rnacentral:lncRNA from 1 species
UCUGUAACUAUUGAAAUGAAGAAAAUUACAAAGAAAAAAAGGACAAAAGGAUAUUGAAGAAAAAUACACAAAUCUCAAGGAUAGUGGGAUCUCUCCAAUGAUGUGACUUCACUUUCUCUUUAUUUAUUUUUCUUCUUUCUCCUUUGUUUGACUUCUUGAAAUUACAAAAUUCACACAAAAUUCAACAAUAUCAUGGUCUAUUCAAAUUUUCAAAUACAUAAACUUAACAAAAUUCAAAAAAAAUAUACUUUGUUUUGGUAUAUCCUCUUACCUUUGAUAAAACAUUUUAACACUUUUUCUUUAGAUCCAAACAUAUGCAAUGAAUCACUUUACUCUAUAAAAGUAUAAAACUAACCUUUCGGAAAUGGAAUACAGAAGCUCAAUCGAAGGAGAGAACGUGAUCAUCCAUUAACUAAAACUACAUGCAAAGGAUAGCAAUUAGCAACAACUAUGAACUAAAUUACUCUUUUUUUUUAGGAGAAAAAUAAUAAUUUUUACAAUUCUAAUUAAUUUCCUCAAACUUAAAAGGAA